CACGUAGGGGGCGAGCGUUGUCCGGAUUUAUUGGGCGUAAAGAGCUCGUAGGCGGCUCGGUAAGUCAGUUGUGAAAACUCUAGGCUCAACCUAGAGACGCCACCUGAUACUGCUGUGGCUAGAGUCCGGUAGGGGAGCAUGGAAUUCCUGGUGUAGCGGUGAAAUGCGCAGAUAUCAGGAAGAACACCAGUGGCGAAAGCGCUCUACUGGGCCAUAACUGACACUGAGGGACGAAAGCUAGGGGAGCGAAAGGG
rnacentral:rRNA from 1 species